rnacentral:rRNA from 1 species
UGAGGAAUAUUGAGCAAUGGGCGCAAGCCUGACUCAGCAACGCCGCGUGGAUGAAGAAGGCCUUCGGGUUGUAAAAUCCUUUCUGGGGAAGAUAAUGACGGUACCCCAGGAAUAAGUUCCGGCUAACUACGUGCCAGCAGCCGCGGUAAAACGUAGGGGACGAGCGUUAUCCGGAUUUACUGGGCGUAAAGCGCAUGUAGGUGGCUUGAAAAGUUGGACGUGAAAGCUCCCGGCUUAACUGGGAGAGGUCGUUCAAAACUGGCAAGCUUGAGGUUGGAAGAGGAGAGCGGAAUUCCCGAUGUAGUGGUGGAAUGCGUAGAUAUCGGGAGGAACACCAGUGGCGAAAGCGGCUCUCUGGUUCAAUACUGACACUGAGAUGCGAAAGCGUGGGGAGCGAACGGGAUUAGAUACCCCGGUAGUCCACGCUGUAAACGAUGGAUACUAGGUGUAGGCGGUCAUUAACCCCGUCUGUGCCGAAGCCAACGCGUUUAGUAUCCCGCUGGGGACUACGGCCGACG